UACGGAGGGUGCAAGCGUUGCUCGGAAUUAUUGGGCGUAAAGGGCAGGUAGGUGGUCUCAUUUGUCUGGGGUGAAAGCCUUGAGCUUAACUCAAGAAGUGCCCCAGAAACGGUGAGACUAGAGUGCUGGAGAGGGUCGUGGAAUUCCCGGUGUAGCGGUGAAAUGCGUAGAGAUCGGGAGGAACACCAGAGGCGAAGGCGGCGACCUGGACAGUGACUGACACUCAACUGCGAAAGCGUGGGGAGCAAACAGG
rnacentral:rRNA from 1 species